rfam:Oryza nivara chromosome 5, whole genome shotgun sequence.
AGCUCAGUGAUUGCAGCCGUUUUCAUUGGCAAUAUACGCUAUGCUGACUGUUUGAUGACAAAUAAGAAUAUGAGAGCU